UACUGCCUGAAUGCAUUCUGCUAGGUGACUGGGCAGGCCAGCAUAAUGCCUGAAUCCUUACACUGACUCCCGGAUUGAUUUACCAUUGCAGAGAGAUUAUUUAUAACUCUAGUCAUAUUUGCUGAAACCUGGUCACCCUCCCAUGGGAGAAGGACUUAUGAAAGAAAAAAGCAUACCUAUCUCAGACAACUUUGAGGAAGCGUACAAGGAAGGUGCUGGGCUAAAAGUAGACUUCAACAAAAGCUCUAAUUGGUUUCUAGAGCAAACCCUGGGAAUCUGGAGAUCAUAAGAGAAUGUCAUUGAAAUGUGAAGUGCACAGCAAGGCGGCACAUUGAGCUUCUAUCAUUCCGGACCAUGGUGAAUAUUUAGUGAGCUAACCCUACUUGAAUGCAGUGUAGACUUCGGAUCCUGAAAGGGAAAGGAUCAGUCCUCUCCACUUUACCAACAGCACCGAUCGCAGCAUCUUCUAUAGUCUUUAACCACCCUGAGAAUGCUUCUCACAUCAGCAACAACGUGGAAGGCGGAAGCAGCCCAUCACGUCCCACCCAUCAUGCAUGCCACAUGUACUGCUUCACAGACUCCUCUGCUUCCCCUCACCCUUUCCCUACAGCACAACCAGUGUGUGUGCUCACGUACAACCAGUGUGUGUGCUCAUUACCUACCCUCCCUGGGUUUCGGAGGAACAGACCCCACCUCAUCUGUCUAGGGUUAUGUCAGUUUCCUGCCACUUGCUGUGGUGUAGACUGGCUGCAUGGCUAUGAAAUGAACAAGGAGGACAAAGCAAACUGACAGGGGCAUCUGUGAGAGGCCUCCUGGCUUCUAGGAGACACAGUAAGAAAGUCUAUUUUAUGUCUUUUGGCUUUCAUUUAUUUGUUUGUUUGUUUGGUUUUUCAAAACAAGUUUUCUUGUGUAACAG